rnacentral:rRNA from 1 species
AUAGAACGCUAGCGGCAGGCUUAAUACAUGCAAGUUGAGGGGCAGCAUGAUAUACGCGAGUAUAUUGAUGGCGACCGGCGGACGGGUGAGUAAUAGGUAGGAGACCUACCUCAUACAGGGGGAUAGCAUAGAGAAAUCUGUGGUGAUACCCCAUGAGGUUAUAUGAAUAGAGGCAUAUAAUCAAAGCAUAAGCGAUUAUGCGGUAUGAGAGGGGCCUACUGACCAUUAGCUAGUUGGUGAGGUAAGGGCUCACCAAGGCGAAGAUGGUUAGGGGUUUUGAGAGAGAGACCCCCCACAUUGGAACUGAGAGACGGUCCAGACUCCUACGGGAGGCAGCAGUAGGGAAUAUUGGGCAAUGGGCGAAAGCCUGACCCAGCCAUGCCACGUGAAGGAAGACGGCCUUAUGGGUUGUAAACUUCUUUACUACGCGAAUAGAGGUUAGUACGAGAUACUAAUAGGAAGGUAGUGUAGUAAAAAGCACCGGCUAACUCCGUG